rnacentral:rRNA from 1 species
UACAGAGGGUGCAAGCGUUACUCGGAAUUACUGGGCGUAAAGCGUGCGUAGGCGGUUUGUUAAGUCUGUCGUGAAAGCCCUGGGCUCAACCUGGGAAUUGCGAUGGAUACUGGCAAGCUAGAGUACGGUAGAGGAUGGUGGAAUUCCCGGUGUAGCGGUGAAAUGCGUAGAGAUCGGGAGGAACACCCGUGGCGAAGGCGGCUCUCUAGUACGGUACUGACGCUGAGACGCGAAAGCGUGGGGAGCGAACAGG